CUCUCAGGCUACAGAUACAGGAUCCAGUACAUAAUGCUCAAAGCAUAAACCCAGAUCAAAUCUCGCUGCAGCAGCAGUAUACAAAGGAGUAGAGAAAAAGCAUGCUGACCGUGCAUUGAAGAGAAGGCACUCGAAAGCCCCUGUUUACCCUUGUUUCAGGCACAAGUACAGUUCUUAGUGCAUGAGUGAUGCAAAAAUAACUGGAGGAUUGCAUCAAGCAUUCAUCCACGGCAAUUUAAAUAAAGAUGAGCUGACGUGAUGGAGAUUAACUGCACUGUAAGAAUGCCUGCAGUGCUCAGCAGAAUGAGGGGCAAGGGAGAAAAAGGACAAGGGGGGGAGUUACACUUCUAGCAAAAGGACAUAUCACUUAGUCCAGCAAAUCAGCAUGCCCAAAAUUUCAUAUUACUGACGUAGAUCUGGCUCUGGCAUGUCUGCAUCAUGCUGUGUAGGCAUUAGGUGCUCUGCAUGUUUAACAUGUGUCUGUAGUCCAGGAGGAAAAUUCUUUCAGUAUAUGAAAGGGAGCUACAGGAAGAAGGGGACAGACUCCUUAGCAAGAUCUGUGAAAGCCAGGGAGAAUUCGGUCAGGCUCUGAAGAAUGAGGAGCUUCCACAGCUGCUGCCCUCUAGCCUUUAUGGACAUCAGAGAGACUGCACGGCCCUAGGUGUUCCAAAUGGCUGAGUAUGAUGCUAAAUCACAGAAGCCAGAAUUUCUUGAAGAGAAAUAAGCAUUUUUAUGUCUUUUUUUCCUUCCCUUCCCUUCCUUUCCCUUCCCUUCCUUUCCCUUCCCUUCCCUUCCCUUCCCUUCCCUUCCCU
rnacentral:lncRNA from 1 species